rfam:Mesocricetus auratus contig138990, whole genome shotgun sequence.
GUGUUUGCUUCAGCAGCACAUAUAGUUAAAAAAAUUAGAACAAUACAGAGAAAAUUAACAUGGCCCCUGUGCAAGGAUGAUAACACAAAAUCAUGAAGAAGAAGAAAAAAAA